CAGGUAGGAGGAGGCGAGUACUACAUAGCAGGGUAUGAUGGAGGGGGGUAAGGAAGACAGAGUGCAGUAUAGUCAGCUGAAAGGCAAGACAAGAUAGACAGAACAGGGAAUACAGGUACAAGGACACAAAUAGGAGGAGCGCAGGAAGGAACGACAUAUUUAGGAAUAAAAAUGUAGCGUUACAGGAAUAAAGAGGGCAGUAUGGAGGAUAAGCACACAUACAGGUGAUGCAGAUAACCUGGGCCUCUAUGAGGCAAGAUCUUGGCUUUGGGAUGAAAUAGUUAAUAAAAUAGAUAAAUGGGAUAUUGAUAACUUUGAAAGUAUCUUGUUUGGUUUAAGGAAAAUUGGGAAACUGGUUGACUCAUGGACAUUUUAUUGUACUUAAACUAGUACUAUGCUUAAUGAUAGUCUUUUGUGUUUUUUAGAUCAUCUGGCAAAGAGAUUUGCAGAGUGUCGGGUGACCGGCAAAGAGAUCUGCAAAGUGUCAGUUGAAGACGACGGGAGGGGUCACAGAGGUAGAAACUACUGGAGUAUAACAUGCAGGAGAUCAUCAUUUGGCAAAGUUCUGGCAAAGAGAUUUGCAGAGUGUCGGGUGACCGGCAAAGAGAUCUGCAAAGUGUCAGUUGAAGACGACGGGAGGGGUCGCAGAGGAAUUAGUGACUGGAGAAUAGCAUGCAGGAGUGGGUGAUCCUUGAAUAGCUGCCCUGGGAGGAGAGCUGCGGACACAUGCAUUACCUAUUAAGAGAUGCAGUAAAGAUGCCGGCUGUCGGGUUUACGGCAGUCAGAAUACUGACACUGGGAUCCCGACACUCUUCAGAAUCCCAACGUUGGAACUCCGAAUGGGCAAGGAUACCGACGCCCAUAUCCCCACGAUCAUAGGUUUAGGGCAAAGCAAGGUUUAGGCAUCAGGCAC